rnacentral:other from 1 species
AUGGCUCUGCGGUGUGCGUGGUCUUAGCUGUUUUGACCUCAAGCGCAUGCCGAGGAAACCUGGCCGCGGCCGCUGGAGCGACGCCCCUACGGGGGAACGCAGAAGGCGGCCGGAGGGUAUCCACCUGUCCAGGCAGGUUCAAAACCUCGGGAUCACGGCACGGUGGAGCAUCG